rnacentral:rRNA from 1 species
ACUGAGCGGCGGACGGGUGAGUAACGCGUGGGUAACCUGCCUCGUACAGGGGGAUAACAGUUGGAAACGGCUGCUAAUACCGCAUAAGCGCACAGUACCGCAUGGUACGGUGUGAAAAACUCCGGUGGUAUGAGAUGGACCCGCGUCUGAUUAGGUAGUUGGUGGGGUAACGGCCUACCAAGCCGACAAUCAGUAGCCGACCUGAGAGGGUGACCGGCCACAUUGGGACUGAGACACGGCCCAA